AAAUCUCAACCUUCUCGGUUUCUUCUGGACACCGAAGGAGGCUUGGACUUUGGAGGCCUUUGCUGGUGUCUCUCUCUUUUGAAACCCAGCUCCUCUUAAAUGUAUUAGCGGGGUCCUCUUUGCUGAUCCUCGACGUGUGAUAAGAUGUUUCCAUGUCUUGGUUUCUGGCUCUGUUGCUCCUGGGACCCGCUUCUAACCGUCUCAACCUUGCAUCGAGACAACGUUUGAGCCUGUCUCCCUUCUCGGGAAACGCUCACAACCCCACGAAC
rnacentral:misc_RNA from 1 species